rnacentral:siRNA from 1 species
CUACUUGGAUAGGUCUGCUCC